CAGUAGCCACGGGAAUACGGAGGGAGCUAGCGUUGUUCGGAAUUACUGGGCGUAAAGCGCACGUAGGCGGUUAUUCAAGUCAGAGGUGAAAGCCCGGGGCUCAACCCCGGAACUGCCUUUGAAACUAGAUGACUAGAAUCUUGGAGAGGUCAGUGGAAUUCCGAGUGUAGAGGUGAAAUUCGUAGAUAUUCGGAAGAACACCAGUGGCGAAGGCGACUGACUGGACAAGUAUUGACGCUGAGGUGCGAAAGCGUGGGGAGCAAACAGGAUUAGAUACCCCGGUAGUCCCUGUCUCUUAUAC
rnacentral:rRNA from 1 species